AGUUUGAUUAUGGCUCAGAUUGAACGCUGGCGGGAUGCUUUACACAUGCAAGUCGAACGGCAGCACGGACUUCUUCGGUCUGGUGGCGAGUGGCGAACGGGUGAGUAAUGUAUCGGAACGCCUAGUAGCGGGGAUAACUACGCGAAAGCGUAGCUACUACCGUACAGCCCUUCGGGGAAAGUGGGGACCUUCGGGCCUCUCGCACUAUUAGAGCGGCCGAUAUCGGAUUAGCUAGUUGGUGGGGUAACGGCUCACCAAGGCGACGAUCCGUAGCUGGUUUGAGAGGACGACCAGCCACACUGGGACUGAGACAUCACCAGACUCCUACGGGAGGCAGCAGUGGGGAAUUUUGACAAUGGGGAAACCCUGAUCCAGCCAUCCCGCGUGUGCGAUGAAGGCCUUCGGGUUGUAAAGCACUUUUGGCAGGAAAGAAACGGCACGGGAUAAUACCCCGUGCAACUGACGGUACCUGCAGAAUAAGCACCGGCUAAUCCACGUGCCAGCAGCCGCGGUAAUACGUAGGGUGCAAGCGUUAAUCGGAAUUACUGGGCGUAAAGCGUGCGCAGGCGGUUCGGAAAGAAAGAUGAAAUCCCAGAGCUUAACUUUGAACUGCAUUUUUAACUACCGAGCUAGAGUGUGUCAGGGGAGGGGAGGUGGAAUUCCGCGUGUAGCAGAAAUGCGUAGAUAUGCGGAGGAACACCGAUGGCGAAGGCAGCCUCCCUGGGAUAACACUGACGCUCAUGCACGAAAGCGUGGGGAGCAAACAGGAUUAGAUACCCCGUAGUCCACGCCCUAAACGAUGUCAACCAGCUGUUGGGGCCUUCGGGCCUUGGUAGCGCAGCUAACGCGUGAAGUUGACCGCCUGGGGAGUACGGUCGCAAGAUUAAACUCAAAGGAAUUGACGGGGACCCGCACAAGCGGUGGAUGAUGUGAUUAAUUCGAUGCAACGCGAAAAACCUUACCUACCCUUGACAUGUUCAAACUCGAAGAGAUUUGGGAGUGCUCGCAAGAGAACCGGAACACAGGUGCUGCAUGGCUGUCGUCAGCUCGUGUCGUGAGAUGUUGGGUUGCGUCCCGCAACGAGCGCAACCCUUGUCAUUAUUGCUACGAAAGGGCACUCCACGAGACUGCCGGUGACAAACCGAGGAAGGUGGAUUAUCAAGUCCUCAUGGGUUCUCAUGGGUAGGCCACACGUUUGGCACAAUGGCCGGGACAGAGGGUCGCCAACCCGCGAGGGGGAGCCAAUCCCAGAAACCCGAUCAGUCCGGAUCGCAGUCUGCAACUCGACUGCGUGAAGUCGGAAUCGCUAGUAAUCGCGGAUCAGCAUGUCGCGGUGAAUACGUUCCGGGUCUUGUACACACCGCCCGUCACACCAUGGGAGUGGGUUUUACCAGAAGUAGUUAGCCUAACCGUAAGGAGGGCGAUUACCACGGUAGGAUUCAUGACUGGGGUGAAGUCGUAACAAGGUAG
rnacentral:rRNA from 1 species